rnacentral:rRNA from 1 species
GAUGAACGCUGGCGGCGUGCCUAAUACAUGCAAGUCGAGCGAACAGACGAGGAGCUUGCUCCUCUGACGUUAGCGGCGGACGGGUGAGUAACACGUGGAUAACCUACCUAUAAGACUGGGAUAACUUCGGGAAACCGGAGCUAAUACCGGAUAAUAUAUUGAACCGCAUGGUUCAAUAGUGAAAGACGGUUUUGCUGUCACUUAUAGAUGGAUCCGCGCCGCAUUAGCUAGUUGGUAAGGUAACGGCUUACCAAGGAAACGAUGCGUAGCCGACCUGAGAGGGUGAUCGGCCACACUGGAACUGAGACACGGUCCAGACUCCUACGGGAGGCAGCAGUAGGGAAUCUUCCGCAAUGGGCGAAAGCUUGACGGAGCAACGCCGCGUGAGUGAUGAAGGUCUUCGGAUCGUAAAACUCUGUUAUUAGGGAAGAACAAAUGUGUAAGAAACUAUGCACGUCUUGACGGUACCUAAUCAGAAAGCCACGGCUAACUACGUG